UACAGAGGUGCCAAGCGUUAGGCGGAAUCACUGGGCUUAAAGCGCGUGUAGGUGGGUCGUUUAAGUGUCCGCGUGAAAAUCCCCACGGCUCAACCGUGGAACUGCCGGGCAUACUGGCGAUCUUGAGGCAUUCAGGGGCGAGCGGAACAAAUGGUGGAGCGGUGAAAUGCGUAGAUAUCGGGAAGAACACCUAUGGCGAAGGCAGCUCUCUGGGACGGUACUGACGCUGAGACGCGAAAGCGUGGGAGCGAACAGG
rnacentral:rRNA from 1 species